rnacentral:rRNA from 1 species
UACGUAGGGGCCAAGCGUUAUCCGGAUUUACUGGGCGUAAAGGGCACGCAGGCGGCCAUUUAAGUCUGGCGUGAAAUCUCCCGGCUUAACCGGGAGAGGUCGUUGGAAACUGAAUGGCUUGAGGCAGUGAGAGGGGUGUAGAAUUCCUGGUGUAGUGGUGGAAUGCGUAGAUAUCAGGAGGAAUACCAGUGGCGAAAGCGGCACCCUGGCACUGUUCUGACGCUCAUGUGCGAAAGCGUGGGGAGCGAACGGG